AGAGUUUGAUCCUGGCUCAGGAUGAACGUUGGCGGCGUGCCUAAUACAUGCAAGUCGAACGAAGAGCUCGGUGUAGCAAUACACUGAAACUCUUAGUGGCGAACGGGUGAGUAACGCGUUGGUGACCUGCCCCAAAGAGAGGGAUAACAGUUCGAAAGGAUUGCUAAUACCUCAUGUGAUCGUCUGGAUUAGAUGCCUAAUGAUCAAAGGAGCUUGCUCCGCUUUGGGAGGGGCCUGCGUACCAUCAGCUAGUUGGUAGGGUAAUGGCCUACCAAGGCUAUGACGGUUAGGGGACCUGAGAGGGUGGCCCCCCACAAUGGAACUGAAACACGGUCCAUACACCUACGGGUGGCAGCAGUAGGGAAUAUUGGUAAUGUGCGAAAGCGCGAACCAGCAACGCCGCGUGUGCGAAGAAGGCCUUCGGGUUGUAAAGCACUNNGGCUAACUACGUGCCAGCAGCCGCGGUAAAACGUAGGAGGCAAGCGUUAUCCGAAUUUACUGGGCGUAAAGCGCGUGCAGGCGGUUCGAUAAGUUGGAUGUCAAAACUCCUGGCUCAACUGGGAGAGGUCGUUCAAAACUGUCGGGACUAGAGGACGGUAGAGGGGGGUGGAAUUCCCGGUGUAGUGGUGAAAUGCGUAGAUAUCGGGAGGAACACCUGUGGCGAAAGCGGCCUCCUGGACCAUUUCUGACGCUCAGACGCGAAAGCUAGGGUAGCGAACGGGAUUAGAAACCCCGGUAGUCCUAGCCGUAAACGAUGUGAACUUGGUGUUGGUGGGGUAAAAGCCAUCGGUGCCGAAGCAAACGCGAUAAGUUCACCGCCUGGGGACUACGGCCGCAAGGUUAAAACUCAAAGGAAUUGACGGGGACCCGCACAAGCAGCGGAGCGUGUG
rnacentral:rRNA from 1 species